UACAGGGGGUGCAAACGUUGCUCGGAAUCAUUGGGCGUAAAGCGCACGUAGGCGGUUCGUUAUGUCGGAUGUGAAAGCCCUUGGCUUAACCGAGGAAGUGCAUCCGAAACUGGCGAGCUAGAGUACGAAAGAGGAUCGCGGAAUUCCCGGUGUAGAGGUGAAAUUCGUAGAUAUCGGGAGGAACACCGGUGGCGAAGGCGGCGAUCUGGGUCGAUACUGACGCUGAUGCACGAAAGCUAGGGGAGCAAACAGG
rnacentral:rRNA from 1 species